rnacentral:rRNA from 1 species
CUUGGUGUCGGGAGUCCGCAAUGGGCCCCCGGUGCCGGAGUGAAGAUGUUAAGUUCACUGCCUGGGGAGUACGGUCGCAAGGCUGAAACUUAAAGGAAUUGGCGGGGGAGCACUGCAACGGGAGGAGCGUGCGGUUUAAUUGGAUUCAACGCCGGAAAACUCACCAGGGCCGACUGUUAGAUGAAGACCAGCGUAAUGAGCUUGUCGGAUUUUCAGAGAGGUGGUGCAUGGCCGUCGUCAGUUCGUACUGUAAAGCGUUCUGUUAAGUCAGAUAACGAACGAGACCCUCAUCUCUAUUUGCUACCCGUCUCUCCGGAGGCGGCGCACUAUAGAGAGACCGCUGGUGUUAAACCAGAGGAAGGCGAGGGCAACGACAGGUCAGUAUGCCCCGAAUGUCCUGGGCUACACGCGCGCUACAAAGGACGGGACAAUGGGAAGCCAGGCCGAGAGGCCGAGCUAACCCGAAACCCGUUCAUAGUUCGGAUCGAGGGCUGUAACUCGCCCUCGUGAAGCUGGAUUCCGUAGUAAUCGUGUUUCAAUAUAGCACGGUGAAUAUGCCCCUGCUC